rnacentral:lncRNA from 1 species
AGAGGUACUGUUUAGGGAGGUGGAAAGCGAGAGAGAGGUACUUUAUAGGGAGGUAGAGAGAGAGAGGAAGAGGUACUGUAUAAGAAGGCAGAGAAAGAGAGAGAGCGAGAGGGAGAGAAAGAGAGAGACAGAGAUGUACUAUAUAGGAAGGCAGAGAGUGAGAGAGAAGGAAAGGUACUGUAUAGAAAGGUAGAGAGAGAGAGAGGUACUGUAUAGAGAGGUAGAGAGAGAGGUACUGUAUAGAGAGGUAGAGAGAGAGAGAGAGAGAGAGGUACUGUAUUGGGAGGUAGAGAGUGUGUAUGUGUGUAAGGUAAGCCAACAUUUCAAGUCAGAGGUCUUCUCAGAGAGAGAUAGAGGUCUUCUCAGAGAGAGUCAGAGGUCUUCUCAGAGAGAGUCAGAGGUCUUCUCAGAGAGAGUUAGAGGUCUUCUAAGAGAGAGUUAGUGGUCUUCUCAGGGAGAGUUAGAGGUCUUCUCAGAGAGAGAUAGAGGUCUUCUCAGAGAGAGAUAGAGGUCUUCUCGGAGAGAGAUAGAGGUCGUCUCAGAGAGAGUUAGAGUUCUUCUCCUGGCUCAAGUUACAGGCCGUGGAGGAUGUCAUCAGGGCCCAGGGUCCUGGACAGUAUACUUGUCUUCUCUCAACACACACACACCCGUUCCCUCCCUGACUACUCCGGCAGCAUGCCCAGUGCUCUGUGCUCUUAUCACUGGGCUCAGGAGAUUGUUCCAGACCGGGCCGGCACCACAUGUUCCCAGACUGAGUG